rnacentral:rRNA from 1 species
AUUGAACGCUGGCGGCAUGCCUAACACAUGCAAGUCGAACGGAAGCACGAGAAGGGGUGUUCACUAGUGGUGGCGGGGGGCGGAAGGGUAAGGAAUGGAUCACCAACUGGUAAGUCUGGGAGCACAACGUGAGACAGGAGCGCAUACUACCUGAUAUUGUAAACGGGAGAGUUCAAAGGAAAAUUAGGCCUUUCCCGUUUGUAAUAGCCGGUGCCGCAUUAGAUAGUUGGUGGGGUAAAGGCAUACCAAGCCAACGAACCGUAGCUGAUCUGAGAGGAUGAUCAGCCACACUGGAACUGAGACACGGUCCAGACUCCUACGGGAGGCAGCAGUGGGGAAUAUUGCACAAUGGGCGCAAGCCUGAUCCAGCAAUGCCGCGUGAGUGAAGAAGGCCUUCGGGUUGUAAAGCGCUUUUGUUAGGAAAGAAAAGAAGCUGGAUAAUACCUGGAUAUCAUGACGGUACCGAAAGAAUAAGCACCGGCUAACUACGUG